rnacentral:rRNA from 1 species
UACGAAGGGGGGCUAGCGUUGCUCGGAAUCACUGGGCGUAAAGGGUGCGUAGGCGGGUCUUUAAGUCAGGGGUGAAAUCCUGGAGCUCAACUCCAGAACUGCCUUUGAUACUGAAGAUCUUGAGUUCGGGAGAGGUGAGUGGAACUGCGAGUGUAGAGGUGAAAUUCGUAGAUAUUCGCAAGAACACCAGUGGCGAAGGCGGCUCACUGGCC